rnacentral:rRNA from 1 species
ACGUAGUUAGCCGGUGCUUAUUCUUACGGUACCGUCAUGACCCGGGGAUAUUAGCCCCAGGCUUUUCGUUCCGUACAAAAGCAGUUUACAACCCGAGGGCCUUCAUCCUGCACGCGGCAUUGCUGGAUCAGGCUUUCGCCCAUUGUCCAAAAUUCCCCACUGCUGCCUCCCUA